UCCAAUGACAUCAGAAAAAAGGAAAGAAAAAGUUAUUAACCUGUUAUUUAACACGUAUCUCUCUUUUCUUAUCUUCUUUUGGCCAAGUUCUGAGAC
rnacentral:ribozyme from 1 species